rnacentral:rRNA from 1 species
UACGUAGGGUGCAAGCGUUGUCCGGAAUCAUUGGGCGUAAAGCGCGCGUAGGCGGCCCGGUAAGUCCGCUGUAAAAGUCAAAGGCUCAACCUUUGAAUGUCAGUGGAUACUGCCGGGCUAGAGUCCGGAAGAGGCGAGUGGAACUCCUGGUGUAGCGGUGGAAUGCGCAGAUAUCAGGAAGAACACCGACGGCGAAGGCAGCUCGCUGGGACGGUACUGACGCUGAGGCGCGAAAGCGUGGGGAGCGAACAGG